rnacentral:rRNA from 1 species
UGGGGAAUAUUGCACAAUGGGCGCAAGCCUGAUGCAGCCAUGCCGCGUGUAUGAAGAAGGCCUUCGGGUUGUAAAGUACUUUCAGCGGGGAGGAAGGCGGUGAGGUUAAUAACCUCAUCGAUUGACGUUACCCGCAGAAGAAGCACCGGCUAACUCCGUGCCAGCAGCCGCGGUAAUACGGAGGGUGCAAGCGUUAAUCGGAAUUACUGGGCGUAAAGCGCACGCAGGCGGUCUGUCAAGUCGGAUGUGAAAUCCCCGGGCUCAACCUGGGAACUGCAUUCGAAACUGGCAGGCUAGAGUCUUGUAGAGGGGGGUAGAAUUCCAGGUGUAGCGGUGAAAUGCGUAGAGAUCUGGAGGAAUACCGGUGGCGAAGGCGGCCCCCUGGACAAAGACUGACGCUCAGGUGCGAAAGCGUGGGGAGCAAACAGG